rnacentral:rRNA from 1 species
GAGUUUGAUCUUGGCUCAGAUUGAACGCUGGCGGAAUGCUUUACACAUGCAAGUCGAACGGCAGCACGGGGGCAACCCUGGUGGCGAGUGGCGAACGGGUGAGUAAUACAUCGGAACGUGCCCAGUCGUGGGGGAUAACGUAGCGAAAGCUACGCUAAUACCGCAUACGAACUGAGGUUGAAAGCGGGGGAUCGCAAGACCUCGCGCGAUUGGAGCGGCCGAUGGCAGAUUAGGUAGUUGGUGGGGUAAAGGCCUACCAAGCCGACGAUCUGUAGCUGGUCUGAGAGGACGACCAGCCACACUGGGACUGAGACACGGCCCAGACUCCUACGGGAGGCAGCAGUGGGGAAUUUUGGACAAUGGGCGCAAGCCUGAUCCAGCAAUGCCGCGUGGAUGAUGAAGGCCUUAGGGUUGUAAAGUCCUUUCGGCGGGGACGAUGAUGACGGUACCCGCAGAAGAAGCCCCCGGCUAACUUCGUGCCAGCAGCCGCAGU